AAAAAUUAGUUAAUUGUAUAACACUAGCUUGUCAUGCUUGAAUAAUCUUUAUUAGAUAUUUUUGA
rnacentral:tRNA from 1 species